rnacentral:rRNA from 1 species
AGUGAACGCUGGCGGUAGGCCUAACACAUGCAAGUCGAACGGCAGCACAGUAAGAGCUUGCUCUUACGGGUGGCGAGUGGCGGACGGGUGAGGAAUACAUCGGAAUCUACUUUUUCGUGGGGGAUAACGUAGGGAAACUUACGCUAAUACCGCAUACGACCUACGGGUGAAAGCAGGGGAUCUUCGGACCUUGCGCGAUUGAAUGAGCCGAUGUCGGAUUAGCUAGUUGGCGGGGUAAAGGCCCACCAAGGCGACGAUCCGUAGCUGGUCUGAGAGGAUGAUCAGCCACCCUGGAACUGAGACACGGUCCAGACUCCUACGGGAGGCAGCAGUGGGGAAUAUUGGACAAUGGGCGCAAGCCUGAUCCAGCCAGACCGCGUGGGUGAAGAAGGCCUUCGGGUUGUAAAGCCCUUUUGUUGGGAAAGAAAAGCAGCAGGUUAAUACCCCGCUGUUCUGACGGUACCCAAAGAAUAAGCACCGGCUAACUUCGUG